UACAGAGGUCUCAAGCGUUGUUCGGAUUUAUUGGGCGUAAAGCGCUCGCAGGUGGUUCGUCGCGUCGUGCGUGAAAGACCCCGGCUCAACUGGGGGAGGUCGUGCGAUACGGGCGGACUGGAGGCCAGUAGGGGGAUGCGGAAUUCCUGGUGUAGCGGUGAAAUGCGCAGAUAUCAGGAGGAACACCGAUGGCGAAGGCAGGUCUCUGGGCCGCAACUGACGCUGAGGAGCGAAAGCAUGGGGAGCGAACAGG
rnacentral:rRNA from 1 species